ACAGCAGGGGUGUACUAAAUUCAGAACUGAAUUGAGAAUGACCCCUAAAUUCCAAUUCAAUUCUUGAAUAUGAAUUUGAAUUGAGAUUGCAAACAAGAUGUGGAAUUGAAAUUCAAAUU